GACGAACGCUGGCGGCGUGCCUAAUACAUGCAAGUUGAGCGCUGAAGGUUGGUACUUGUACCAACUGGAUGAGCAGCGAACGGGUGAGUAACGCGUGGGGAAUCUGCCUUUGAGCGGGGGACAACAUUUGGAAACGAAUGCUAAUACCGCAUAAAAACUUUAAACACAAGUUUUAAGUUUGAAAGAUGCAAUUGCAUCACUCAAAGAUGAUCCCGCGUUGUAUUAGCUAGUUGGGGAGGUAAAGGCCCACCAAGGCGAUGAUACAUAGCCGACCUGAGAGGGUGAACGGCCACAUUGGGACUGAGACAAGGCCCAAACCCCUAAGGGAAGCAGCAGUAGGGAAUCUUCGGCAAUGGACGAAAGUCUGACCGAGCAACGCCGCGUGAGUGAAGAAGGUUUUCGGAUCGUAAAACUCUGUUGGUAGAGAAGAACGUUGGUGAGAGUGGAAAGCUCAUCAAGUGACGGUAACUAACCAGAAAGGGACGGCUAACUACGUG
rnacentral:rRNA from 1 species